rnacentral:rRNA from 1 species
UGUGCCUACGGGGGGCAGCAGUGGGGAAUAUUGCACAAUGGGGGGAACCCUGAUGCAGCGACGCCGCGUGAGUGAAGAAGUAUUUCGGUAUGUAAAGCUCUAUCAGCAGGGAAGAUAAUGACGGUACCUGACUAAGAAGCCCCGGCUAACUACGUGCCAGCAGCCGCGGUAAUACGUAGGGGGCAAGCGUUAUCCGGAUUUACUGGGUGUAAAGGGUGCGCAGGCGGUCUGUUAAGUCAGCGGUCAAAGCCCGGGGCUCAACCCCGGCCCGCCGUUGAAACUGGCAGUCUCGAGUUGGAG